rnacentral:lncRNA from 1 species
AUAAAAAUUAAAUAGACAUUUAAGUCAUAAACCAAUGUUUACCCUCAUAAUUAAUAGAGCGUAACGUUUUUCUGUGGAUUUCUAAUGUAUGCACUAAUGUGGUACUAGGAUAUCAGUGAAAUAUGAUCACCACCUUUUUAGAAAAUAACAAUAAUGCAGAUGCAUGCAUAUUGAUUUCCUCAUGUGCAUUAUUGUUUCAUUUAAAACUAGCUUGUGCACUGAACUUUGUCUUAAUUUUUUAUUCACUGAUAUUUUCUCUUUCCACUUUAUCACCUUCAUCGUCAUCUUUUCUUUCACCUAUUGCGUUUUACAAAUCUUUAAUAUGAAAAAUGGUUUCUGCUUUGUUCUACUAUUUUCAUCUAAAUAAAUCGUGGACAAAAGCAUGCGUAUUAAAAUAAACAUGUUUAAAUAAAAGUGCAUAAAAUUAUUAAGGGGGAAAACCUCAUAACCUACUAACAUGAUCAACUUAUGUAAAAACUGAAUUCCAUUGUAAAGUUAAUUAUCGACUUAUGGUGUGUUUAUUCAUGAAUAAUUGGAAUGGAGUAAAAUCAGAGUAGAGAAUGAAAAUUAAA